rnacentral:rRNA from 1 species
UAACACGUAUCCAACCUGCCUCAUACUCGGGGAUAGCCUUUCGAAAGAAAGAUUAAUACCCGAUGUCAUAGUCCUACCGCAUGAUGGGAUUAUUAAAGAAUUUCGGUAUGGGAUGGGGAUGCGUUCCAUUAGUUAGUUGGCGGGGUAACGGCCCACCAAGACAACGAUGGAUAGGGGUUCUGAGAGGAAGGUCCCCCACAUUGGAACUGAGACACGGUCCAAACUCCUACGGGAGGCAGCAGUGAGGAAUAUUGGUCAAUGGACGAGAGUCUGAACCAGCCAAGUAGCGUGAAGGAUGACUGCCCUAUGGGUUGUAAACUUCUUUUAUAUGGGAAUAAAAUGUUCCACGUGUGGGAUUUUGUAUGUACCAUAUGAAUAAGGAUCGGCUAACUCCGUGCCAGCAGCCGCGGUAAUACGGAGGAUCCGAGCGUUAUCCGGAUUUAUUGGGUUUAAAGGGAGCGUAGGUGGAUUGUUAAGUCAGUUGUGAAAGUUUGCGGCUCAACCGUAAAAUUGCAGUUGAAACUGGCAGUCUUGAGUACAGUAGAGGUGGGCGGAAUUCGUGGUGUAGCGGUGAAAUGCUUAGAUAUCACGAAGAACUCCGAUUGCGAAGGCAGCUCACUGGACUGCAACUGACACUGAGGCUCGAAAGUGUGGGUAUCAAACAGGAUUAGAUACCCUGGUAGUCCACACAGU